GCCUUCGUGGUGUAGUGGUCAGAUAGCUCGACGCGUAACCGAGAGGUCCGUGGUUCGAUUCCCGGCGAAGGCG
rnacentral:tRNA from 1 species